rnacentral:rRNA from 1 species
UACGGAGGGGACUAGCGUUGUUCGGAAUUACUGGGCGUAAAGCGCACGUAGGCGGAUUUGUAGGUCAGGGGUGAAAUCCCGGGGCUCAACCUCGGAACUGCCUUUGAUACUGCAAAUCUCGAGUCCGGAAGAGGUGAGUGGAAUUCCUAGUGUAGAGGUGAAAUUCGUAGAUAUUAGGAAGAACACCAGUGGCGAAGGCGGCUCACUGGUCCGGUACUGACGCUGAGGUGCGAAAACGUGGGGAGCAAACAGG